rnacentral:rRNA from 1 species
UACGGAGGGUGCAAGCGUUAAUCGGAAUUACUGGGCGUAAAGCGCGCGUAGGCGGCUAGAUAAGUCGGAUGUGAAAGCCCCGGGCUCAACCUGGGAACUGCAUUCGAUACUGUUUGGCUAGAGUAUGAGAGAGGGAGGUAGAAUUCCACGUGUAGCGGUGAAAUGCGUAGAGAUGUGGAGGAAUACCAGUGGCGAAGGCGGCCCCCUGGAUCGAUACUGACGCUGAGGUGCGAAAGCGUGGGGAGCAAACAGG